AUUACUUCUCGGCCUUUUGGCUAAGAUCAAGUGUAGUAUCCUCAUGUGUCAAUUGGAAUGGGCCAUGCAAUUCUCAGAUUAAGCAUUGUUUCUGAGCUGUCUGUGAGAGUAUGCUUUUUAAGCACAUUACUUAUACAAACUGUGGGUUUCAUUUUGGCAAAUUCAUAUAUGCACAUAACAAACU
ensembl:snRNA U2 U2 spliceosomal RNA